rnacentral:rRNA from 1 species
GUCGGAUUAGCUAGUUGGUGGGGUAAAGGCCUACCAAGGCGACGAUCCGUAGCUGGUCUGAGAGGACGACCAGCCACACUGGGACUGAGACACGGCCCAGACUCCUACGGGAGGCAGCAGUGGGGAAUUCCGGACAAUGGGGGCAACCCUGAUCCAGCCAUGCCGCGUGCGGGAAGAAGGCCUUCGGGUUGUAAAACGCUUUUGUCAGGGGAGAAACGCGUCGGGCUAAUACCCCGGCGUAAUGACGGUACCUGAAGAAUAAGCACCGGCUAACUACGUGCCAGCAGCCGCGGUAAUACGUUGGGUGCAAGCGUUAAUCGGAAUUACUGGGCGUAAAGCGUGCUCAGGUGGUUGUGCAAGACAGAUGUGAUAUCCCCGGGCUGAACCUGGGAACUGCAUUUGUGACUGCACGGCUAGAGUACGGCAGAGGGGGAUGGAAUUCCGCGUGUAGCAGUGAAAUGCGUAGAUAUGCGGAGGAACACCAAUGGCGAAGGCAGUCCCCUGG